rnacentral:rRNA from 1 species
CCUGCCAGUAGUCAUAUGCUUGUCUCAAAGAUUAAGCCAUGCAUGUCUAAGUAUAAGUAUCUCAACUGCGAGACUGCGAACGGCUCAUUAAAUCAGUGAUAGUUUCUUUGAUGAUCACAUCCUAGUUGGAUAACCGUAGUAAUUCUAGAGCUAAUACAUGCUAAACGGCACCUCCUUCACGGGGGGGACCGCAUUUAUCGACAACGUAAGCCAACGCGGGGCAACCCGAUCGUAUGGUGAUACACGGUAACUCUAGCUAAUCGCACGACCUUGAGUCAGCGAUGAUUCAUUAAAGUUUCUGCCCUAUCAACCACCGAUGGUAGUAACGUGGCCUACCAUGGUGAUAACGGGUCACGGGGAAUUAGGGUUCGAUUCCGGAGAGGGAGCUUGAGAGUUCGCUACCACUUCCAAGGAAGGCAGCAGGCGCGCAAAUUACCCAAUGGCGAUACGCCGAGGUAGUGACAAUAAAUAACAAUACAGAGUCCUCACGGACUUUGUAAUUGGAAUGAGUACAAUCCAAACCUCUUAACGAGGAACAAUUGGAGGAUAAGUCUGGUGCCAGCACCCGCGGUAAUUCCAGCUCCAAUAGCGUAUAUUAAAGUUGUUGCAGUUAAAAAGCUCGUAGUUGGAUUUCAAGCUGGGAUGGGUUCGUCCUGUCGCGGUUAUCGGGCGCUAGUUGGGUCGAAAGGCUUGGCCGGUCUCGGUGCCACCAGUUUUACGCAGAAGGAGGCCCUCUGCCCUUGAUUGAGUGGGGGUGUCCGCCUCUCGCUGAUUACUUUGAAAAAAUUAGGGUGUUCAAAGCGAGUAUACAUUGCUCCGAAUAGAUUAGCAUAGGAUAAUGAAAUACGGUCGUGCAGCUGUGUUUCGUUGGUUUGAGCUGUUCGGCAAUGAUUAAUAGGGAUAGUCGGGGGCAUUCAUACUUCGUCGUCAGAGGUGAAAUUCUUAGAUUGACGAAAGAUGAGCUACUGCGAAAGCAUUUGCCAAGGACAUCUUCAUUAAUCAAGAACGAAAGUUAAGGGAUCGAAGACGAUCAGAUACCGUCGUAGUCUUAACCAUAAAUGAUGCCGACCAAAGAUCAGUAGACGUACCCCUGGAGACUCUAUUGGCAUUUUAUGAGAAAUCAUAAGUCUUUGGGUUCCGGGGGGAGUAUGGUCGCAAGGCUGAAACUUAAAGGAAUUGACGGAAGGGCACACCAGGAGUGGAGCCUGCGGC